rnacentral:rRNA from 1 species
AUUGAACGCUGGCGGCAGGCUUAACACAUGCAAGUCGAGCGGGGGAAGGUAGCUUGCUACCGGACCUAGCGGCGGACGGGUGAGUAAUGCUUAGGAAUCUGCCUAUUAGUGGGGGACAACAUCUCGAAAGGGAUGCUAAUACCGCAUACGUCCUACGGGAGAAAGCAGGGGAUCUUUGGACCUUGCGCUAAUAGAUGAGCCUAAGUCGGAUUAGCUAGUUGGUGGGGUAAAGGCCUACCAAGGCGACGAUCUGUGACGGGUCUGAGAGGAUGAUCCGCCACACUGGGACUGAGACACGGCCCAGACUCCUACGGGAGGCAGCAGUGGGGGAUAUUGGACAAUGGGGGGAACCCUGAUCCAGCCAUGCCGCGUGUGUGAAGAAGGCCUUAUGGUUGUAAAGCACUUUAAGCGAGGAGGAGGCUACUUUAGUUAAUACCUAGAGAUAGUGGACGUUACUCGCAGUAUAAGCACCGGCUAACUCUGUGCCAGCCGCCGCAGUAA